rnacentral:misc_RNA from 1 species
AAAAAACCAAGCAGAAAGGGAUAUAUUAUUUCAAGAUUAAAGUGGAUUCUCUGUUAUCUCAUCUGAUCUCCACCAUUUGAAAGACCAAACCAGCAAAGAAAAAGGAAAGAAAAUGCAUACAUUCAAGAAACUGAAGUUUUUAUAUCCUCUUCUCAUCUUCAAUAUCUUCAUCACUCGUGUAUCCCAACACAGUUCUACAACCUUAUGUGGCAAAAUCCCAAUUCAGAGGCCCUUUCUGAGCUCAAAUUCAACUUCGGUUUCCCCAUUAAAUCACAUGAUACCAUGCAGAUCUAAUAAGCUGUU